ACUCCUACGGGAGGCAGCAGUAAGGAAUAUUGGUCAAUGGACGGAAGUCUGAACCAGCCAUGCCGCGUGGAGGAUGAAGGUCCUCUGGAUUGUAAACUUCUUUUAUCUGGGAAGAAAUGCUUUUUUUCUAAAGAGCUUGACGGUACCAGAUGAAUAAGCACCGGCUAACUCCGUGCCAGCAGCCGCGGUAAU
rnacentral:rRNA from 1 species